rnacentral:lncRNA from 1 species
UUGCAGUUUACAUAGGCUAAGAUGUACACUGAAAACACAAAAGCUGGUGAUGCCAAAUAAACCAUACAUGUGCUUUUUUUCUUUGCAUUCCUCUCGAUAAACUUGCAUAUCUUACAUUGUGCUGUUCCUGUAAUUGAUGCAAAGAUCUAAUAAUUUCACAUCUAUCAGUCCUAAAGAGUGCAAGCUGUCCAUAUACACGCAAGGUAAUGAUGAUGGAACCUAUGGUUGCAGGCACAAAGGAAAGUUCAUGCCUUUUUCAAAACGACAGAACCGUAGUUAGCUUGGCAAGCUUGGCAUGAGAUCGGGCGUACCUCAGGUGGAGCACGGUCUGUACUACGAGAUUGUAAGACAGCGUAGAAAGGCGACUUGUAGCGCAAAGUGGACGUACAAAGCUAGCCAAGCCAGCGGAAGCCGUGUGUUUGUAAGCUGUGUGCUUGUAUUUGUAGUAGCACGCAUAAAAAACAGAGAAAGUUGUUGGUUUAAUGCCUCCAGUGUAUAUCAACAAAACUUAAAUUGUGAGCAAUCAGAAGUAGCGCCAAUUUUUCAGAAAAAAUAAACUGAAACAUAGUGCGCCACGGAGCAAACACAAUAUCCAUGAAUCAAGAUUAGCUGCAGGAAUUAGAAGAUCCUCUGCACACUUAUGGGCAGAUCCAUCCUUGGAUCCACUCUCUAACAUCUCGGAAAGAUUAAUCUCAAACCACAGACAAAUUCGAAAGUGAUCAGGCCCAAAUUCUACAGAACUUCCUAAGUAAACAAAUGAACAUUGUAGCAAACUGACUAGACGACUUUAGUUUGAACAGUCCAACAAGCAAUUCAGCAGCACAAUACCCAUGACAAAGUGAUACAACAUUUGCGCGACUGAACCUACUCCAAUUUUGGUCCUAAUUUGUAUCUGAAACUCAUCGGUGGACACAGAGCAUACGACCACAGUAAAGCAGGGCACAAUUCAGUUCUAGAUCAGAUCUCAAGCAAGUGCUACUCUGGAGGCCGGUCGCCAGCAAGAGCAAAGGAGUAGUAACCCACGGGCCUAUUGAGCAGCGAGGCGGAAAAAAUAAACUGAAACAGGGGCUCAGGUGAUGGAUGGCUCAGGCGAUGGACAGCUCAGGCGAUUAACUUUCAAGAGGAGACAUACCUCUGGUGUAGCCGCCUCAGGCGAUGGACGGCUUGACGGAUGUUCUCCUUCCGCCGACGAACUUGGCAUUGGACGGCUCGAUGACUCGACAUC